GACGAACGCUGGCGGCAGGCCUAACACAUGCAAGUCGAACGCCGUAGCAAUACGGAGUGGCAGACGGGUGAGUAACGCGUGGGAACAUACCCCUCGGUUCGGAAUAACUCAGGGAAACUUGAGCUAAUACCGGAUACGUCCGAGGUUUUAAUCGACCUUGGAGAAAGAUUUAUCGCCGGAGGAUUGGCCCGCGUCUGAUUAGCUUGUUGGUGAGGUAAUGGCUCACCAAGGCGACGAUCAGUAGCUGGUCUGAGAGGAUGAUCAGCCACAUUGGGACUGAGACACGGCCCAAACUCCUACGGGAGGCAGCAGUGGGGAAUAUUGGACAAUGGGCGAAAGCCUGAUCCAGCCAUGCCGCGUGAGUGAUGAAGGCCUUAGGGUUGU
rnacentral:rRNA from 1 species